CUUCGGGGUGGAUUAGUGGCGAACGGGUGAGUAACACGUGGGCAAUCUGCCCUUCACUCUGGGACAAGCCCUGGAAACGGGGUCUAAUACCGGAUACGACCGCGGGAGGCAUCUCCUGUGGUGGAAAGCUCCGGCGGUGAAGGAUGAGCCCGCGGCCUAUCAGCUUGUUGGUGGGGUAAUGGCCUACCAAGGCGACGACGGGUAGCCGGCCUGAGAGGGCGACCGGCCACACUGGGACUGAGACACGGCCCAGACUCCUACGGGAGGCAGCAGUGGGGAAUAUUGCACAAUGGGCGAAAGCCUGAUGCAGCGACGCCGCGUGAGGGAUGACGGCCUUCGGGUUGUAAACCUCUUUCAGCAGGGAAGAAGCGCAAGUGACGGUACCUGCAGAAGAAGCGCCGGCUAACUACGUGCCAGCAGCCGCGGUAAUACGUAGGGCGCAAGCGUUGUCCGGAAUUAUUGGGCGUAAAGAGCUCGUAGGCGGCUUGUCACGUCGGGUGUGAAAGCCCGGGGCUUAACCCCGGGUCUGCAUCCGAUACGGGCAGGCUAGAGUGUGGUAGGGGAGAUCGGAAUUCCUGGUGUAGCGGUGAAAUGCGCAGAUAUCAGGAGGAACACCGGUGGCGAAGGCGGAUCUCUGGGCCAUUACUGACGCUGAGGAGCGAAAGCGUGGGGAGCGAACAGGAUUAGAUACCCUGGUAGUCCACGCCGUAAACGUUGGGAACUAGGUGUUGGCGACAUUCCACGUCGUCGGUGCCGCAGCU
rnacentral:rRNA from 1 species